rnacentral:rRNA from 1 species
GACACGUGGUAUCCUGUCUGAAUAUGGGGGGACCAUCCUCCAAGGCUAAAUACUCCUGACUGACCGAUAGUGAACCAGUACCGUGAGGGAAAGGCGAAAAGAACCCCGGCGAGGGGAGUGAAAAAGAACCUGAAACCGUGUACGUACAAGCAGUGGGAGCACGCUUAGGCGUGUGACUGCGUACCUUUUGUAUAAUGGGUCAGCGACUUAUAUUCUGUAGCAAGGUUAACCGAAUAGGGGAGCCGAAGGGAAACCGAGUCUUAACUGGGCGUUAAGUUGCAGGGUAUAGACCCGAAACCCGGUGAUCUAGCCAUGGGCAGGUUGAAGGUUGGGUAACACUAACUGGAGGACCGAACCGACUAAUGUUGAAAAAUUAGCGGAUGACUUGUGGCUGGGGGUGAAAGGCCAAUCAAACCGGGAGAUAGCUGGUUCUCCCCGAAAGCUAUUUAGGUAGCGCCUCGUGAAUUCAUCUCCGGGGGUAGAGCACUGUUUCGGCAAGGGGGUCAUCCCGACUUACCAACCCGAUGCAAACUGCGAAUACCGGAGAAUGUUAUCACGGGAGACACACGGCGGGUGCUAACGUCCGUCGUGAAGAGGGAAACAACCCAGACCGCCAGCUAAGGUCCCAAAGUCAUGGUUAAGUGGGAAACGAUGUGGGAAGGCCCAGACAGCCAGGAUGUUGGCUUAGAAGCAGCCAUCAUUUAAAGAAAGCGUAAUAGCUCACUGGUCGAGUCGGCCUGCGCGGAAGAUGUAACGGGGCUAAACCAUGCACCGAAGCUGCGGCAGCGACGCUGAUGCGUUGUUGGGUAGGGGAGCGUUCUGUAAGCCUGUGAAGGUGUGCUGUGAGGCAUGCUGGAGGUAUCAGAAGUGCGAAUGCUGACAUAAGUAACGAUAAAGCGGGUGAAAAGCCCGCUCGCCGGAAGACCAAGGGUUCCUGUCCAACGUUAAUCGGGGCAGGGUGAGUCGACCCCUAAGGCGAGGCCGAAAGGCGUAGUCGAUGGGAAACAGGUUAAUAUUCCUGUACUUGGUGUUACUGCGAAGGGGGGACGGAGAAGGCUAUGUUGGCCGGGCGACGGUUGUCCCGGUUUAAGCGUGUAGGCUGGUUUUCCAGGCAAAUCCGGAAAAUCAAGGCUGAGGCGUGAUGACGAGGCACUACGGUGCUGAAGCAACAAAUGCCCUGCUUCCAGGAAAAGCCUCUAAGCAUCAGGUAACAUCAAAUCGUACCCCAAACCGACACAGGUGGUCAGGUAGAGAAUACCAAGGCGCUUGAGAGAACUCGGGUGAAGGAACUAGGCAAAAUGGUGCCGUAACUUCGGGAGAAGG